rnacentral:rRNA from 1 species
UACGUAGGGUGCAAGCGUUUGUCCGGAUUUAUUGGGCGUAAAGAGCUCGUAGGCGGCUUGUCGCGUCGACUGUGAAAUCCCGCGGCUCAACUGCGGGUCUGCAGUCGAUACGGGCAGGCUAGAGUUCGGUGAGGGGAGACUGGAAUUCCUGGUGUAGCGGUGAAAUGCGCAGAUAUCAGGAGAACACCGGUGGCGAAGGCGGGUCUCUGGGCCGAUACUGACGCUGAGGAGCGAAAGCGUGGGGGAGCGAACAGG